rnacentral:tRNA from 1 species
UCGGCGAUAGUAUAAUGGUUAGUAUUCCGUCCUGUCACGACGGAUAUCCGGGUUCGAUUCCCGGUCGCCGAG